rnacentral:lncRNA from 1 species
UUUUUUUUUUUGGAGACAGGGUCUUGCCCAGGCUGAAGCCCAAGUGGCAUGAUCAAGGCUCGCUGAAGCCUCGACCUCCCAGGUUGAAGCCAUCCACCCACCUCAGCCUCCAGAGUAACUGGGACCACAGAUGUGCACCACGAUGCCUGGCUAAUUUUGUCUUUUUAAAAAAUUUUUUGUAGAGCUGACAGGGUCUCACUAUGUUGCCCAGGCUGGUCUCGAACUCCUGGACUCAGGCAAUCCUCUCACCUUGGCCUCCCAAAGUGCUGGGAUUACAGUUGUGAGCCACCAUACCUGGCCUGCAUACCCUUUUCUAUCUGGCUCUCUCAACUUUAAAAUCUUUCUUGGUGGCUCCAGUGUGCCAUGUCUCAUGGUCCUGAAAUGACCCCUGUCACUGAGGCAGGGAGCAGAGGAGACAGGGAAUUUGUGCUGAUGGUAAAUGGAUCUGGUUUGAAUCCUGGCCACUGCCCACUAGCCAUGUGACCAAGACUUAGCCAUAUUUUUUCCGGGUGUUAUGCAGAGAUAAUGAGAUCAAAAUUGUAACGCAUCUAGUACUGACAUAACAGGCGCUCAACAAAUUGUAGCUAUUUAAGUGUUAAUAACAAAUCCUUUUCAGAUUGUUUCUAUAACAGUGAAUUUGCAAACAGUUGGAACCUCUGAAGUGCCUCCUCUCCUGGACUGGAAACCCCUUGAGGGCAGGGGCCUUGUCUGCCUAUUCACAAUGUCCGUCUAGCACACGGUAGGCUCUUAAUAUAUAUAUUUAUUUUUGAUGAAUGAAUAAUCUAGACUAUCCUCAAUUCUGAUAUCACAAUUCCUUUCUAGUAUUAAAUUCCGAAUUAUAAUACAUGUUAAUUGCAGAAGAAUUGGAAAAUAUUUUUUAAAAAUAGGAAAACAAAAAAAUAGCUGUGAUCCUAGUCCCCGGAGAUAGCCACAGUUAAUAUUUGGAUAUAUUUCCCUGCAGCCUUUUUUUCUGUGCUUAUGCAUAUUUCAAAAGGUUUAUAUUCUGGCUUUUCAGUUAACAUAAGGAGCAUUUCCCUGUGUUACUAAAUAAUCUUCAUAAACAUAAUUUUAAGUGCUACAUAUAUUAUUCUGUGCUAUGAAUGUAUCAUAAUUUAUGUAACCAAUACCCAGUGGUUGAUAUUUAAGUCGUUUCCAUUUUUCACCAUUAUAAAUAAAGCUGCACUGAACAUCCUUUUGCACAAAUCUCUGUGUAUAUCUGUGAAUUAAGAUUUACUACCAAGAAUAAAUUCUACAAGUAAAUUACUGAUUUAACAGUGAACAUGUGAAGACCCCAGGUAAAUGUCUUGUUAAAUGAUUUUUCAUAGAGGUUGCACUCAUUGUCUGUGCACAUGAUUUAACAGUGAACAUGUUAAGACCCCAGGUAAAUGUCUUGUUAAAUGACUCUUCAUAGAGGUUGCACUCAUUGUCUGUCCUCCUGCUAUCAAGGUAGGAGAAUUCUCACCUCCAGAAUAUUGUUUAAAAUGAAAGACUCUUUGCCAAAUGGAGAAGUGAGACACAAAGUCUAUUUUUUCAUGAUGAUCGCUUCUGUCUUUGACGAGCAUGGUGCAUUGAGGGGUCCUCAACUUGACAUUUUGGACUAGAUGGUUCCUGGUGUGAGGGGCUGCCCUGUGUGUUGUAGGACGUUUAGCAGCAUCCCUGACCACCUACUAGAUGUUAGUAGCACCCCAUUUCCCCCAGUUAUGAUAACCAAAAAUAUAUCCAGACAUCGCCAAAUGUCCUCUGGGGAACACCCCUGCUUGAGAACGAUGUAGUUACACUGUAUUAACUCUAUUGGUUACAAGUAACAGAAACCAACUGUAAGCAAAAAUAGGGACUUUGUGAGAAAAGUCUUAGGGUAUCAUGGAACCCAAAGGCAUGGAUGCAAGUGGGCCUCCCUCCUCUUUUCAGGGCUGCCUCAUUCUUUUCUCUUGCUGUAGACUGGCGUUCUCUCUAUUCUUGACUACAAGGAGGAAAAUGGCCACCACUAACAUUUCUGAAGUUUAUAUCCCUUGUGUAUGAAAAAGCCAGGCUACACUGGAGUCUCUUGGUUCCAAAUGCUCAGGGAAGGACUCCAAGAGGCGCAGCUUAGGUGGGCUAUGUACAGCCGGUCCGAUCAGUGUGGCUGUCGGGGGACAGGAGGGACAUGUGGCUCCUGGAGAUCUUGUUGUAUCUAUGUGGAUGUGCCUGUAUUUCUAGAAAAAGGCUGCUGGGCAGCUGAUCCCUCAGGAGUCCCCUAGAUGCCCACACAACAGCACAUUGGACACUUUGCCUACAAGGGC